AUCCAUGCAGAUAAAUUCUGCAUCAGUUCGGAAGGAACAUAUCACGCGAAUAGAAUAUAAUUCAAAGUUUUUGGUUUCGGUUUAAAAGUUUAAUUAUGUGCAGUGUACGACGCAUCCUUAUCAUUUUGUUGAUCACUAUUGCCAUAGUCCGUAAUGGAGCAUCCUACUCUGGUCCAAAGAAUGAAAUUCCCAACUGUAGAUAUUGGAAACCUCAUACUACUAAAUGUGUUGAAAGGCCUCUUCAAAUGGAAGCCUCGAGAUCUAGCCAAGCUGUAGCAUACGUACCUAAAUCUGUAAAAAAAACAAAAGGUGAUGAUGGACUUUGGAAAUUAUUUAAAGAUAAAAUCAAAUGGUUUCAUAACUGGGCAUGAAACAUCUUUAAUCAAUUCAUGGUCUAUGCUGCAACACGAUCCUAGCAGUAAAAUAUAAUUGUAAGAAAAAUAAAAUAAAAACUGAUUAAAAAACUGAAUACGUUUAGUUUUAUAACAA
rnacentral:sRNA from 1 species